AUGGUGCCAAUAAACAAAGAACAUGGGUAUCUCAUUUCUUCUCUCUAUUUUUUCGAGCAAAUUCUUUUUUUUUGUUCAAUGUAUUUAUUCUUCAAUUCUGAUUUCUUUCUUGCUAGAUGCAGAGAAUCCACCACGUGUUCCAUUUUCUUCUUCCAUAUGUUUUGUCAUUUAACUUUUGUUGUGUAUGUGUAUGUGUGUGGCCUAGUGGUGAAAUGUUUGGGUCUUGAGAGUGUGCUCCUCUCAAGGUUUUUUUUCUUUUGCGUGACUAGGAUGAUAUUUCAAUAG